rnacentral:rRNA from 1 species
GAUGAACGCUAGCGGCAGGCCUAAUACAUGCAAGUCGAGGGGCAGCGCAGUGUAGCAAUACACGGGCGGCGACCGGCAAACGGGUGCGGAACACGUACAGAACCUUCCUUCGAGCGGGGAAUAGCCCAGAGAAAUUUGGAUUAAUAACCCAUAGUACUACUGGAGGGCAUCAUUUAGGAAUUAAAGAUUUAUCACUUGAAGAUGGCUGUGCGUAUGAUUAGGUAGUUGGCGGGGUAACGGCCCACCAAGCCUACGAUCAUUAACUAGUGUGAGAGCACGACCAGUCACACGGGCACUGAGACACGGGCCCGACUCCUACGGGAGGCAGCAGUAAGGAAUAUUGGUCAAUGGACGCAAGUCUGAACCAGCCAUGCCGCGUGGAGGAUGAAGGUCCUCUGGAUUGUAAACUUCUUUUAUCUGGGACGAAAAAAGGCCUUUCUAGGUCGACUGACGGUACCAGAUGAAUAAGCACCGGCUAACUCCGUGCCAGCCGCCGCGGUAAUAC